AAAGUCGUAACAAGGUCUCCGUAGGUGAACCUGCGGAGGGAUCAUUCACAUGAUUACUUUUAUUUAAACAAACUGUGAACUUUAUAUAUAUACUAUUCGUGUUGUUGAUUUUAAAUCAAUAACAUUGUCAUUCGUUGAACAUAAGAUAGUUGGCUUGUAUUCAUCUUUUUGAUGUUUUACUUUCUCAGCUUUGAUUUGUAUAGAAACUUAAACACUUUCUAUCAAUCAACCAUAAACAUAGAAACAACUCUAUGCCCUGGAUAUCUUGGUUCUC
rnacentral:misc_RNA from 1 species